GAUCAUGGCUCAGAACGAACGCUGGUGGCGUGUCUUAUACAUGCAAGUCGAGCGAGGCAGCAAUGCCGAGCGGCGAACGGGUGAGUAACGCGUAAGCAAUCCUGCCCCAUAUCAGGAAAUACCCGUGCCAACGCGCGGUUAAUGUCCAGGAGAGUGGCCCCCUGCAUGGGGGGUUGACUAGAGAUUUAUCGGUAUGGGAUGAGCUUGCGUCCGAUUAGCUAGUUGGCGGGGCAACGGCCCACCAAGGCGACGAUCGGUAGCCGGCCUGAGAGGGUGAUCGGCCACAUUGGGACUGAGAUACGGCCCAGACUCCUACGGGAGGCAGCAGUAGGGAAUAUUGCACAAUGGGGGAAACCCUGAUGCAGCAACGCCACGUGUGGGAAGAAGCAUUUCGGUGUGUAAACCACUGUCAUGAGGGAAUAAGGCCCGCCUUCGGACGGGAUUGAAUGUACCUUGAGAGGAAGCACCGGCAAACUUCGUGCCAGCAGCGGC
rnacentral:rRNA from 1 species